rnacentral:rRNA from 1 species
GACAGAGGGUGCAAACGUUGCUCGGAAUCACUGGGCGUAAAGGGCGUGUAGGCGGAUCGGCAAGUCGGGCGUGAAAUCCCUGGGCUCAACCCAGGAACUGCACUCGAAACUGCCUUUCUUGAGUGCCGGAGAGGAAAGCGGAAUACCUGGUGUAGAGGUGAAAUUCGUAGAUAUCAGGUGGAACACCAGUGGCGAAGGCGGCUCACUGGACGACUGUUGACGCUGAGGUACGAAAGCGUGGGGAGCAAACAGG